ensembl:lncRNA
GGGAGUAUCAUGAAGUAAUGCACUAAUGGCUUGGAAACGGUAAUUGUUUGUCUUUCUAAAGUUUUUUUUUAUUUAUUUGUCUUCCUUUUCUGGCAGAUUUUCUUCCCCUUAUGUGUUACUGUUUAUUCAAGAAGAUGGUGUUAUUUUGGUAAAUGCUGAAUUCCAGUGUAUUACAACACUUCAACUGGAGAUGACCUUCGCGGCACAGUUAGACAGAAUUACACCUCAGUUGAUGACAGUUUUCCAGAAGAAGGGCGGUGUUUCUGGGCAGAAACUUGCCCACCACUUGCAGAUCAUGCAAGAGGCUGAAAGUGAUGUUAAAGUGAAAAGGGAAGCAGUUCUCAGGGCACUUUGCCUCUACCUUGGUGAAGAGGACGG